rnacentral:misc_RNA from 1 species
UCCGAGUUUACCCCGGCAGUCUCCCACGAGUCCCCGGCAUUACCCGCUGGCAACAUGGGACAGGGGUUGCGCUCGUUGCGGAACUUAACCCAACAUCUCACGACACGAGCUGACGACAGCCAUGCACCACCUGUGCAGGACCCCGAAGGACACCACAUCUCUGUGGCUUUUCCCUACAUGUCAAACCCAGGUAAGGUUCUUCGCGUUGCCUCGAAUUAAGCCACAUGCUCCGCCGCUUGUGCGGGUCCCCGUCAAUUCCUUUGAGUUUUAGCCUUGCGGCCGUACUCCCCAGGCGGGGUGCUUAAUGCGUUAGCUUCGGCACGGAGAGGGUUGAAGACCUCCCCACACCUAGCACCCAACGUUUACGGCUGGGACUAC